AAAGGGCCGCUUUCUUGCGUCUUCUUUUAGGGGACAGAGAAGGCCGGGAAGAAGAACCCGCGGGAUUCCGCUUACAGCGUCCGCCUUCUUCCUCUGAGGAGAACUGCCCGAAGAACUUAUAACAGUAUAUGCGACUAUGCUGAGUGGUCUACAUUGGAAGUGCAACCCGUGAAGGGAGCUACGGGUCCAUCACAGUACGGAGCCACCAAUAUACAUAGUCUGGUAGGUUAUACGUCAAGCAUGUUCCUUUAUAAUAUUUUAUCAUACUACUUAUUUGAUACAUGCAUGAAUGAAUGGAUAAUGUGAAUGAAUAAUCAUAGUUGAAUAUGUAUCCCUGCCGAGCAGUUACGGCGAUUCCCUUUGGGGAUUAACAGGCCGUCAGACAUGAUAGUUAGACGAUUCUUUCAUCCAUUGUUGGGAGGAACGUAUCCCCAUUUUGGCGGGUGAGGGAUACCACUCCAUCUGUUGUUGGGAGUAUGAUAUGGAUUCUCUCCUUCCGUUGUUAAGAGAGUGCACCAUCGAAUGUGAUGUACAUCUUUGUUUUCUGAUUGUUAUGUAUGUCAUCGAGAUGUGUUGCAUGUGAUUAAUGCAUGAUUUUGUUUA